rnacentral:lncRNA from 1 species
CAGUGAGCCAAGAUCAUGUCACUGCACUCCAGCCUGGCCAACAGAACAAGACUCUGUCUCCAAAAAAGAAAAAAGAAACUGAGGUUUAAGAAAGUUGAUUAAUAGCCCUAGGUUACACAGCUAGUAAGUGACAAAGCCAGAACAUGAACUUCUGUUAACUUUAAGACUUUUAAUUUCAACCCCAACUACUCUCUUCUAACUACUGCAGUAGUGGAAAUCUGUACUCAGUUGCCAGUUGUGUAAAAUAAGAAGUUCCCCCACUG